UGGGGAAUAUUGGACAAUGGGCGAAAGCCUGAUCCAGCCAUGCCGCGUGUGUGAAGAAGGUCUUCGGAUUGUAAAGCACUUUAAGUUGGGAGGAAGGGCAUUAACCUAAUACGUUAGUGUUUUGACGUUACCGACAGAAUAAGCACCGGCUAACUCUGUGCCAGCAGCCGCGGUAAUAAAGAGGGGGCAAGCGUUAAUCGGAAUUACUGGGCGUAAAGCGCGCGUAGGUGGUUUGUUAAGUUGGAUGUGAAAUCCCCGGGCUCAACCUGGGAACUGCAUUCAAAACUGACUGACUAGAGUAUGGUAGAGGGUGGUGGAAUUUCCUGUGUAGCGGUGAAAUGCGUAGAUAUAGGAAGGAACACCAGUGGCGAAGGCGACCACCUGGACUAAUACUGACACUGAGGUGCGAAAGCGUGGGGAGCAAACA
rnacentral:rRNA from 1 species